rnacentral:tRNA from 1 species
GCCGGAGUGGCGGAAUUGGCAGACGCACCAGCUUGAGGGGCUGGCGACCCACAAAGUCGUGCAGGUUCAAAUCCUGUCUCCGGCA